UACGGGAGGCAGCAGUGGGGAAUAUUGCACAAUGGGCGCAAGCCUGAUGCAGCCAUGCCGCGUGUAUGAAAAAGGCCUUCGGGUUGUAAAGUACUUUCAGUCGUGAGGAAGGUGUUAAGGUUAAUAACCUUAGCAAUUGACGUUAGCGACAGAAGAAGCACCGGCUAACUCCGUGCCAGCAGCCGCGGUAAUACGGAGGGUGCGAGCGUUAAUCGGAAUUACUGGGCGUAAAGGGCACGCAGGCGGUUAAUUAAGUUGGAUGUGAAAUCCCCGGGCUUAACCUGGGAAUGGCAUUCAAGACUGGUUAGCUAGAGUCUUGUAGAGGGGGUUAGAAGUUCCAUGUGUAGCGGUGAAAUGCGUAGAGAUGUGGAGGAAUACCGGUGGCGAAGGCGGCCCCUGGACAAAGACUGACGCUCAUGUGCGAAAGCGUGGGGAGCAAACAGGGAUUAGAUACC
rnacentral:rRNA from 1 species